GCGCUUCCUGGUCUCUCCAGCCUACAAGUCGGGAGUCGGCGACCGCUUAGUGACGAGCGAUGAUUUUAAAGAGCAGAAUAAAAGGUUUUCCCGUGCCUGCCCCACAGCCCCUCCAGCUCGAAUAAUGGAGAACUGUCAAUGCACUCCGCGAGCGGUGGCCCAUUGUACGCAGCUGAUGGCGAGGAGGCGACUGGGGGUAGCAGGGGCUCCUUGCCCUCGUCCCUAUGCCCAAAUAAACGCGCAAACGCGCUCCCGUCUUCUGGUCAGUUAAAAGGUGAAACGAACACGAUUAAAAUAGACCAAAAGAAAAGAAAGAAAAGAAAACCUUUCUAUGUACAGAUUCUAAAUCGUACUCCCCAUACAGUCAGAGGCAGGGAGUCGAGGGCAGAGGCAGCAGGCGGAGAGAGGGAGAUAGGGCGAGGGAAGGAGAACGCGGAGAGAGACGAAGGGAGUGGGAGACCAGCGACAGCGAGCGCCAGGGCACCGCAGGCACACUGGAUGCCCAGUCCGCCGGCCCAGCCGCCCUCGGACCCUGGACCGUGCGUCGUGGGCACCAGAAACGAGACUCGGCCAAAUCCUGCCUCACCAGCAGGUAGAUGAAACUCAAGAGAAAAGGUGUGGAUAAAUGAAACUAGCCCAUGAUGAACCUGUUUUCUCCGUGACCACAAUAUUAACCAGGAUGAAUGGCGGUGGCAGUGGGCCUGCAUCACAGGUUGCAGCAGAUGUUCUCAAUAUUUCUAUUAAAAUUUCCUUAUUUCCAUAUGCAAGAGGAGCCCCAGAGCUGCAUCCUUAUGGUAGCUACCAUGCCGUGAUGUAAGCUGCCAUUCACUGGGGAGCUUUGGCAAUAGAAUUGGCUAGAUCAGGAAGCCUAUGUCAACUAUGGAACAACAACUUGCAGCUCAUCUCUAUUGAUGGUGAGUCA
rnacentral:lncRNA from 1 species